ACAGGAUGUGAGGGGAUGGAGCGGUGCCGGGCUUUGUCCGCCGCUCGUGGCUAUGCUGUGUGCUCGGUUCCCGCUUGGUUCCGUGGCUCUUCGGGAUCAGUGGGGGACGAUGCCGGCCGCAUUUAGAUUCCUUGUGAGGUGCCCUGAGAUACCAUGUUGGAGAUGGCGGCUGUGCCCUGCUGCUCCGUUGUCUGCUUCCGUGCACAGCUUGUGACCAUCGUGUGCUGGGACACCUGUGAUGGCACCAGGCCCUCCCAUACGCUCUAUGAAAAUGAUGAGAAUGACUUCCAAGGCUGUGAGUGGUGGCUGAUGAGAAGCUAAGAAGAGGAACCUCAAAGUUAAACUGAUUGGUAAACUAAUCCAAGCCUUUGGGUUUAUGUGCUUUUUUUUCUAACUAAUAUGUCUGACCCUUAGUUAUUUUGAUGGACCAGUGUUUUUAUGUUGCACUGCACAAGGUAGAGAAUCUCUAGGAUUUGGUACACUUAAAUUGAUGCUUCUUUCAAACAGACUGUUUUUGCUUUUCUGUAGGUGCAUUACGUUCUGGGCAGUGGCUUUUUAAUGAUUUGCUCGUGUCAAGUGACAUUAAUGCUUAGACAUAAUCAUAGUGAUGAAUAUAAACGAUUUAUUAUGAGGGCUGCAUUUCUGAAUGAGUGUUCAACACAGCAUGAGUGUUCUUUUCAGCAAGACUACAGGCAGCACGCUUAAGAAUGAGAGAAACAAGCGUCUGCCUUGAAUUUUCAUACAGAAUUUUUCCCUGGAGGACUGAUAAAACGAAUCAGAGCAAUUUCCUUUGGCAAACUAAAACUGUGGAGUUCGGUAAUGAUUGUGAAAGAUUUAUUUGUGUAUAUAUGCGAUUACGUUAUGUUUCAACACAUACUGAUUUCUUGAAAUGGAUUUUACUUUUUGCUUUGUAGAUGUGGCAUGAAAGGGCAUUUCACAGGAAAUGGAUCAAGAUUUGUCUAAUAUUUUUUUUCUCAAAAGUGAAAGUUUCUUUGUUAUCACAUGUGAUUUGCUUGUCUGAUUUUUCUCUGGAACAGAGAGUCUAGAACUGUGAGUCUGGUCUGGUGGUUGGCAACCAUACCCAUGAUGGUCUUUGAAACUAGAUGAUCUUUGAGGUCCUUUUCAACCCAGGCCAUUCUAUGAUUCACUUACUGACUUCUAGUGGUAGUUGCAGGCAUGAAACACUAACAGGAUCAGACCCUUAGAUAUUUUUUUUUAUAUCUGAAACUGUUAUUUGAACCUUGUAAGUCAGUGUAUGCUAAAUAUACUCAGCAUUUUAAUGAAAGCUGCAGUUGAAUCAUACAAAUUCAUCUUGUUAUUGGCUGGAAAAUACCUUAUUUUAUAAGUCAAAGAUCUAGGAUUCCUUAAAAUUCUCAAGUAAGUUCCAGUGGGUAUAAUGGCCCUAAAUUAUUCAUAUACAGCUCCAGGUUUUUAUUACGUUUUCUGAUUUACCUUUUUCAUAAAGUAGGAGCUCUGUAUUUUAACUGUGCAUAAGUCAAUACCUCAUUGAGAACACGAGUUGGAGAGAGAUGUUAUUUCACAUUAGGUAAUGCUAAGCUAUCACUGUUUCCUUCCCUGCAUGUCUCUCUUUGGGAGCUUUCUUCUGUUUGAGUUAUGUCACGCUGAAUUGGAACCUUAAGUAUGAGUUCUAUAUUCAUUUCCUUGUUGUUGCUUUGAGGCUAAGAAGCAGUCGCAGUAAGAGAGUUAAGAAAGUAAGAGUUAAAGUAAAGUAAGAGUUAGGCUGAGUGUGAGGAAAACUGCUGUUUUUUUUUUUUGUUGUUCCCUGUGCACAACUUAGCAGAAAUUGGAUCUCUUCUGCUUCAGCUUAGUCAGUCAGUGGCUAUUAGAAAAGUUCUUCUAGUUUUUGUUCUGCUGUGGAGAACAGGUGGAAGCAAUUCACUUUCCUGACCAAGGGGUGCAGGCUGGUUCCACCCUUUCCUAACCUCAUUUAAGGGCUGGCUGCCUCCAGGGAAGGAGCUCUGCUUGGAGGUCUGCCCUUUUGUAGUGUUUUGUGUGUCCUGUUCCUCAGAAAGGGGUAAGUAGUUCUGUGGUUAUUUACUAGGUUGAGUCCUCUGUGUUUCUUGGGUAAUUUAAAGCUGUGUCUGCUAAUGUCUAUGUCUGCAGUUGCUGCCCCAUGGAGGCCCCUCUUGGUUGACAAUGGCAGUUGGUAUCUGUGGGGUGAGAGGAGUCUGUGUAGAAGCGGUGGUACUUAGGAGGAAGACACCAUUUGUCUUUAUGCUUUAUAGGUACAAUCAGAUCAGAAAGCAUUGUGCUUUAUGGCACAGUUUCCUUGGCCAAAGGAUGCUUUUGCAGCAGAGGUUUGCUGUCAGGAGGCAUUAAAGCUCUGAAGAAAAGGUUGCUGUGCACUGGGCCUGGAGACAUCAGCUCACAGCAUGUCACUGGUGGUGGAUAUCUGCAAGCUUUGUGUCUGUCAAUGACUGCUCUGAAGGCUUUAUAGUCAGCUGUCCAUGGUUGUUUUGCUUUUUAGGGUGGAGGAACAGACGACAACGCACCGAUUGGAGUGAUGGUGUCCUGCUCAGAAAUGGAUGUGCUGGAUGGCAGAAGAGGAUUCUUGGCCAAGUAUGGAAUCAUCUCUGUUCCUUCACGAAGGUAAGUUUUUAAAAGUUAAACACACAGAGGUGGAUUUGCAGGGUGUCUUGAAGGAGGCGACCCCCACUUGACAUCAUUUUUCUCCUCCUUACUCUUCUCCCCUGUUUCUGCUUUACCUCUUCCUGCUGAUGCAGCAACUCAUUUACUCUUAAGUUCUUCUCCCUUAGUGUUAUCCUUCCCUCUUCUGCUGGGUCAUCUUCCCUCUGUCCUCACUCCUCUUCAGCUGGCUACUAAUUCUUCCUGUAACGGCUCCUAUUGUGCCAUUCUUUCUUCCCUGUAUCCUCACUCUUCCUUCAUCUGCACUCCUCUUCUGCUGUUCUUUCUUCUCUCUAUCCUCUUUCGUCUUUCUUCUGCAUUUCAUUUCCCCUUCUGCUGUUUUUCCCUGCUUCCUCACUCCUUUUUCAUCUGCAUCAGCUCUGCUCUUCUUUCUUCCCUCUCUUCUCACUUUUACAUCUGCACUCUUCUUAGGCUCUUCCUUCUUCCCUGCACUUCCCUCUCUGCCCUUUCCUCUUCUGCUGUUUUUCAACUCUAUCCUCAAUCCACUUCUGCAUCUCCACUCCUCUUCUGAUCUUUUCUUCCCUGCACUCUUCUGCUGUUUUUACUUUUCUGUAUAAUCACUCAUCCUUCUGCAUCUGCACUCUUCCUCUGCUGUUCUUUCUUUCCUCUCCUCACUCCUGCAUCAGCACUAUUCUGCUGUUCUUCCGUGUCCUCCCACCUCUUCUGCUGUUCUACCUUCAUUGCUCUUCCAUAUCCUCACUUUUCUUCUGUUCUUUCUUCCCUGUAUCCUCACUCCUCUUUCUUUUCCAUCUGCUCUCUGCCUCUGCUCUUUUCUUCCAUCUCCUCACUCCGCUUUCUUCUGCAUCUGAAUCCCAUUUCUACUCUUCCUUCUUCCCUGUAUCCUCACUGCUUUCAUCUGCACCUGUUCUCUUCUGCUGUUUUUUUUCCCUGUAUCCUCACUACUCUUUCUUCUACACCUGCUCUCCUCUUCUCCUCUUUCUUCCCUCUCCUCUCUCCUAUUUUUUCUGCCUCUGGACCCCAUUUCUGCUCUUCCUUCUUCCCUAUAUCCUCUGCUGUUUCAUCUGCAUCCUCACUCUUCUCCUGUUAUUUCUUCCCUGUCUCCUCACUCCUUUCUUCUGCAUCUGCACUUCUCAUCUUCUUUCUUCCCUGUAUUCUCUCUGCUCAAUCACCUGCAGCUGUGCUCUUCUCCUGUUUGUUUCUCCUUGUAUCCUCACUCCCCUUUUUUCUGCCUCUGUACUCCCCUUCUGCUGUCCUUUCUUCCCUGUAUCCUCACUCCUUUCAGCAUCUAAACUCCUCUUCUGCUUUUCUUUAUUCUUUUUUUCACUGCUCUGUGUUCAGCAUCCACGCUCCACUCCUUCUGUUGUUUUCUUGUGUCCUCACUCCUCUUCUGCAUCUGCUCUCCUCUUCUGCUGCUUUUUUUCCUGCUUUCUCACUCCUCUGUUGUCUGCAUCAGUUCUACUCUUGUUCUGUUCCUUCUUCCCUGUCUUCACUCUUUAUUCUGCAUCAGCACUCCUGUUAGGCUCUUCCUUCUUCCCUGUAUUCUCCCUGCACUUUCCUCUGCAUUCACUCUUCUAUCAUUGUUUUUUUCCCUAUAUCCGUAUAUCUCUCCUCUUUCUUCUGCAUCUGAACCCCAUUUCUUCUGCUCCUUCUUCCCUGUGUCCUCCCUGAUCUUUCGUCUGCAUCCGCACUCCUCUUCAGCUGUUUUUUCCCCUGUUACUGCACUCCUCUUUUUCCUGCAUCUGCACUCCUUAUCUUUCUUCCCUGUAUUCUCUCUGCUCAUUCACCUGUAGCUGUGCUCCUCUUCUGCUGUUGUUUCCUCCUUGUAACCUCACUUGCCUUUUUUUCUGCAUCUGCACUGCACUUCAGCUGUUAUUUCUCGAUCCUCUUGUCACUUCUUUCUUCUCCAUCUGCACUCCUCUU
ensembl:lncRNA